AGACGGGGACCCGCACAAGCGGUGGAGCAUGUGGUUUAAUUCGACGAUACGCGAAGAACCUUACCUGGCCUUGACAUAGAAAGAAUUUAGCAGAGAUGUAAAAGUGCUAGUUUACUAGAGCUUUCAUACAGGUGCUGCACGGCUGUCGUCAGCUCGUGUCGUGAGAUGUUAGGUUAAGUCCUGCAACGAGCGCAACCCUCGUGUUUAGUUACUAACAGAUUAUGCUGAGGACUCUAGACAUACUGCCUGGGCAACCAGGAGGAAGGUGAGGACGACGUCAAGUCAUCAUGGCCCUUACGGCCAGGGCUACACACGUGCUACAAUGGGGUAUACAAAGAGCAGCGAUACCGCGAGGUGGAGCAAAUCUCAUAAAAUAUCUCCCAGUUCGGAUUACACUCUGCAACUCGAGUGUAUGAAGUUGGAAUCGCUAGUAAUCGUAGAUCAGCAAUGCUACGGUGAAUACGUUCCCGGGUCUUGUACUCACCGCCCGUCACACCAUGGGAGUUGAAUUCAUUCGAAGCGGG
rnacentral:rRNA from 1 species